AUGGGCAACGUCCUGCCGCUGCCACGCGCGUGCAGGGAAACCAGGGUGGUGGACGCCACCGUCGCCGGUGCCAGGAGGGUGAAGAGGAUGGAGCGGCCGGCUGCGGCCAAGAACAUCGUGGACGGGGCGGAUCAACACGGUGUCUUGGAGAAGGAGGUAGAGUGCCGUGUGGAGGACGGCGGGGUGCGGGUGAAGGUGCUGAUGACGAGGAAGGAGGCGGCGGCGUUCAUGGCGAGGCUGGAGGAGCAGGCCGCCGCGGAGAGUGAAUCCAGGACGGGGGCGAUCGGCCGCGGCUUCGCGAUGAGCCCGUGCGAGGUUGCGUGGAGGCCUCGUCUCGAAACCAUACCGGAGACCUACUAG
rnacentral:rRNA from 1 species